rnacentral:ncRNA from 1 species
GGAAAUACAUUGAAGAAGGAAAGUAAUAUAGAUGGAAUUUACAGAGAGAGAACCAUUUGCUGAGAGGAUUCUUAUUGGAAAUCUAUAUGAAGUGCCCUUUGGAGUUAUGCACCGAAUUAAGUAGGCUGCAUCGGGUUUCUCCCGUUACAGAGAUAGAGCAUUAUUUAGUGCUUGAACAAGGUGGAUACUAGUAUCAAUUAGAGUGGAACCGCGGAUAUCACUUCGUCUCUAUA